rnacentral:rRNA from 1 species
UGAGCCAAGUUUAGGGUUUUCUCAAAACCCAAGCAGUAUUGAACUGAAGAGUUUGAUCAUGGCUCAGAUUGAACGCUGGCGGCAGGCCUAACACAUGCAAGUCGAGCGGAUGAGAAGAGCUUGCUCUUCGAUUCAGCGGCGGACGGGUGAGUAAUGCCUAGGAAUCUGCCUGGUAGUGGGGGACAACGUUUCGA